rnacentral:rRNA from 1 species
CCUUCGGGUUGUAAAGUACUUUCAGCAGUGAGGAAGGUGGGUAUGUUAAUAGCAUAUUCAUUUGACGUUAGCUGCAGAAGAAGCACCGGCUAACUCCGUGCCAGCAGCCGCGGUAAUACGGAGGGUGCGAGCGUUAAUCGGAAUUUACGUCGGGACGUAAAGCGCAUGCAGGUGGUUUGUUAAGUCAGAUGUGAAAGGCCCGGGGCUCUAACCUCGGAAUUGCUAUUUGAAACUGGCAAACUAGAGUACUGUAGAGGGGGUAGAAUUUCAGGUGUAGCGGUGAAAUGCGUAGAGAUCUGAAGGAAUACCGGUGGCGAAGGCGGCCCCCUGGACAGAUACUGACACUCAGAUGCGAAAGCGUGGGGAGCAAACAGGAUUAGAUACCCUGGUAG